rnacentral:snRNA from 1 species
UUGUUUUGGCAGCAAAAUAAUAAAAUUGUACUGAUAAAAAGAUUAGCAUGGCCCCUGCCCAAGGAUGACUCAAAUUUGUGAAGAGUUCCCUAUUUUU